rnacentral:rRNA from 1 species
GACGAACGCUGGCGGCGUGCUUAACACAUGCAAGUCGAACGGAAAGGCCCUGCUUUUGUGGGGUGCUCGAGUGGCGAACGGGUGAGUAACACGUGAGUAACCUGCCCUUGACUUUGGGAUAACUUCAGGAAACUGGGGCUAAUACCGGAUAGGAGCUCCUGCUGCAUGGUGGGGGUUGGAAAGUUUCGGCGGUUGGGGAUGGACUCGCGGCUUAUCAGCUUGUUGGUGGGGUAGUGGCUUACCAAGGCUUUGACGGGUAGCCGGCCUGAGAGGGUGACCGGCCACAUUGGGACUGAGAUACGGCCCAGACUCCUACGGGAGGCAGCAGUGGGGUAUAUUGCACAAUGGGCGGAAGCCUGAUGCAGCAACGCCGCGUGCGGGAUGACGGCCUUCGGGUUGUAAACCGCUUUCGCCUGUGACGAAGCGUGAGUGACGGUAAUGGGUAAAGAAGCACCGGCUAACUACGUG